CGUAUAAGCAGGUGCUUCACGAUUUUAGACUAUUAUCUGCAGUAAAAAGUAAUGGUCGAACAGCUGCAGUAUUUUAUGAAUGACACAAAAUGACAUUGUUUGGACCGUUUAUGGCACAUUUCACUAUGUUACUCUACCUUUAAUCUUUGUUGUGGCUUAUUGUAGAAAAACCAAGUACGAUCCCAUUGGCAUAUAUACAUGUACAGAAGAUGAAUCGAUUGACUACUAAAUCAUUUUCAUAAUCAUGAUUACGAUAAUAAUAUUUUUUUCUCGAACUACACACGAGAGCUACGUGUGAGAGAAAAGAGAGAAUCCACUUAAGGACUAAAACCCCAGCACAGAACACACCCCCACACGCCUACAUAUAAAAGACCUAUAGACGCCCCACAAAAAUAAACACGACCUCGACCAAAGACCUCUAGAC
rnacentral:lncRNA from 1 species